AUCUCCAGUCUCUUCUGGCUGUCCUCUCUGUGUGGCAGCUACUGGACUGUAUUUAUUUUUUGUGCUUUUCCUGUUCUUCUGGUAUUUCAACUUGUUCUAAUGACACCUUUUGAAAGCAUUUCCAGCUGGCUCACUUUCAGCACCCUUAAAGGAACAGCCAGACGAUCCUGGCCUCUUCUUGCCCAAAGGCAGCAGUAAAUCAGGACUGAUACCGUGAUUUGAUGCUUGACUGGCACAAAAGCAAUAGGGCUAAUCCUGUUCCAAAUAUCUUUGGAUCUAUUUGGCAGGGGAAAGGUCUCACAGCCCUAUUGAUGAUGGAGAUGAUCCUAUAGUCAUCCGUGGAAGUUCUUGUGGGGGUACGAAACAGUGAAGAGUGCAAUUUAGAAGGCACAGAUACACAUGGAAAGUAUGUACCUGGGAUCUCAGAUCUCAUCCCCACCCUGCUGCUUCCAACAUAUGAAACUAUUGUUGUGUUUCACUGGAAUUUAUGAAACCUUCAGCCCAGCUAAAACUUCACUUCUAAUUACAUGGUAUGAUUUUCUUUUUCUUGCCUGUCUCUAUUCCUGUCUACAGAUUGCGAAAAUCUGGAAAAUGUCACUCUCUCUCUUUCAUAAUUGCUAAGGCAUAAUAUGCUUUUCUACUUUAUGAGUUAAAUAUUUUUAAGUGCAAUCACUUAUUUGUUAAUAUCGGAAACAACUUGAUGUUCAGGCUGUGGAUUCAGGUCAGAGGUUCAUUUCUC
rnacentral:lncRNA from 1 species